CGAGGCUUGACAUCCCGCGAAGGUCUGGGAAACCAGACUGUGCCUUCGGGAACGCGGUGACAGAUGCUGCAUGGCCGUCGUCAGCUCGUGUCGUGAGAUGUUUGGUUAAGUCCAUCAACGAGCGCAACCCUCGUGAUUAGUUAUAUUUUCUAAUCAGACCGCCCGGGCCAACCGGGAGGAAGGUGGGGAUGACGUCUGGUCAGCAUGGCUCUUACGCCUCGGGCUACACACGUCCUACAAUGGCCACUACAACGCGUUGCCAAACCGUAAGGUGGAGCUAAUCGCACCAAAAGUGGUCCCAGUUCGGAUUGAGGGCUGAAACUCGCCCUCAUGAAGUUGGAUUUGCUAGUAAUGGCAGGUCAGCAAUACUGCCGUGAAUACGUUCCC
rnacentral:rRNA from 1 species